UUCGGGCUGGUAUGAGUGGCUUUCUUUGUGGCAGUUGAUGUCUGGAAGCUCAGAUGGGAGGAGAGAGAGCAGGACCUACAGACCAGAAGAGAAUCACCCAGGAAGAGAUCAGAGAGAGAGAGGGCAGCCCUGUGAGUCCCUGAGAAUUUCAUAGCAGAGCUUCUCAGUCCUGCUUCUGAAUGUGCUUGUCAUUGGGGAAUUGAAGUAUAUUUCUAAAAAGACCGAAUCGUGGUGAUUAUUCUGUGGCCCAGAUCCCAGCUUCAUGGAUUCAGGGACACCUGUCUUAGAAGUAGCCUUAGCUCCAGGUAGCUGGAAUCAGGGCAUGGUGAGUGGUCCCUGUGACCAACCUCAAGAAGCAAGAACAGGAGCCCUGAGGAGUAGGUAAGCACCUCCAUGAUGUGAUGCUGCCAACUCUCCUCCUCUUCCAGUUAAGGCAGGGGAAUUUUCCUUUUCCUAAGAAGGACUACUUGGUACCUGAGAAUGGGAUGUAGCUUCUAGACAGUCCUUAAGAAUGGGCUUGGGUGCGGCCCCGUAAUUCUCUCCAGUCACGUAAGCCUGGUUGGUUGAUUUAUACAGGAAAGAUUGACUGUUACAGCUCUGUGUCCCAUCGACAGUUACCCAGCAUCAUCUCUGGGCUUUCUGACACCUCUGGGAAUGUCUAUGGAGAGUGAUCAUGGCAUUUUUCCUAAUGGCCUAUGAUUUUCUGCUGUGAUAACUGUGUUUAGGAGAAAAUUCUUAAGAUUCAUUGGUGCCUCUCAGAGCAGUAAUUUGACCAUGAAGGUCCCAUGGGGCAGGAUCCUGCCCCCAGCCUCUUACUGACAGGCUUCUUUUUCUCCUUCCUGCAAAUCAGAGUCCCUGCCCAGAAGGGAUCCUGCAACACUGCCACCUGUGUGACCCAAUGGCUGGCAGGCUUGCUGAGCAGUUCUGGGGGUGGGGUGAAGAGCAACUUCCUGCCCACCGAUGUGGGCUCCAAAACAUGAAAGACUCCAUAGGGCAGGCUUCUGCCCCCAGGCUCUUACUGACAGGCCUCUUUUUCUCUUUUCUGCAAAUCAGCUUAACUGAGGAGAAGAGCAACUUUGUGCCCACCAACGUGGCCCCUAAAUCCUCUGGCCGUCGCCGCAGGGACCUUCAGGCCUGAGCAAUGAAAUGGCUUCAGGAAGAAGAUCCUAGAAACUGAACUCUACUUCCUUUAAUUUUUAGUGAAAGAAAUGUGUAGGACAAGGAGCAUGGAAGACACACCUAUGUGCACACUUCUAGAUAUUGAAAUCACUCUUUUGGUUUGAAAUAAACUAGAUCUAAAUGCAGAAUAAACUCAUGGCAGUCAUCUAGUGUGCAUCUUUUUAUAUUGGAUUUGUCAUCAAUAUGUAUGAUAGCAUGUCUCAUUGGUUUAUCUGGUAGCAAAUCUGGGCCCCAUAAACCAGCUCGUUGAUUAUAUAAUAUAAAAUUAUGCAUAUGAAUUAUAUUUCCAUGAGCUUUACGAAAAGUGUAUCAUAAAGCCUACGUGACCAUCACCACAAUAAAAGGUACAGAAUAUUUCCAACAUCCCAGAAUGUUCCUCAUGCCACUUUGAGGUCAAUAUCCCCCAGACCCCUGCCUCACACAAUCACUGAUGUGAUUUCUAUCACUGUGGAUUCAUUUUUCCGUAGAUAGAUGGUACGUACUCUUUUAUCUAACUUCUUUCACUCGGCGUAAUGUUUGGGUGAUUUAUUUAUAUUGUUGCAUAUAUCCGUAUAUCAUUAUUUGGGGAAUUAAUUAGGUGUUAAUUCUCAAGAAUUUGGGAGAAAGAGUUAAGUAAUAUUCCAUUGUAUGCCAAAAUUUGUUGAAUGAACACAGUUUUGGUUAUUCCAUAUGACAUUCUUAUGAACCUUCACGUACAAGUAUUUCUGUGAACAGCUGAAGUCAUUUCUCUUGGAUAAAUAGCUAGAAAUUGUAUGGUGAGUGUCUGUAUAACUAAACUGACUAUGCCAAUUUAUAAAUGGCUCUGCCAUUUUACACUAGCAGAAGUGUAUUGUGAUCGUUCAGCUUGCUCCAUACAUCGUAGCCAAUGCUUAGUAUUUUUAGUCUUUUAAUUUUUAGUCACUUUUAUGACUCCGUAACAAUAUCUCAUUGUGGGUUUUUUUAUUUCCCUAAUGACUACUGAUACAUGAGUAUGUACUCAUAUGCUUAUUGGCCUUUUGUUUGUCUUCUUUUGUGAAGUUCCUGUUCAACUAUUUUGCCAAUUUUAAUUCAGCACAUUAUCUUCUUAUUAUUCAGUACAGGAGAUCUUAAUAUAUUCUAGAUAUUAGUUCUACUUCCUCUUUGAGCACUAUUUCACUCACUCACAUUUCUCUCCCUCUUGAAUCACUUCCUCUUGGAAACCAGAUGACGUGAAGUGAGGCACUCGAGCUGGCUGUGGAAGGGACCAUGUCUCAAGAAAUGGAGGUGUCUGGCCAACAGCCAGCAAGAAAUGAAGGCCUGUCAGUAACCAAAUGAGUGAAUUUAGAAGUGGAUUCUCCAGCCCCAGUUGAGCCUGGAGAUGAGUGCAGACCCAGCUGAGAGCUGUGCUGCAACCUCAAGAGACACCCUGAGCCAGAACCACCCAGCUGAGCCUCUCCCACAGAGCCUACCCUCAGAAUCUGUGUGACAUAAUAAAUAUUGGUUCUUCUGA
rnacentral:lncRNA from 1 species